AUUGAACGCUGGCGGCAGGCCUAACACAUGCAAGUCGCGCGAGCGGCGGACGGGUGAGUAAUGUAUGGGGACUGCCCGAUAGAGGGGGAUAACUACUGGAAACGGUAGCUAAUACCGCAUACUAUCGGAUAACCCAUAUGGGAUUAGCUAGUAGGUGAGGUAAUGGCUCACCUAGGAGACGAUCCCUAGCUGGUCUGAGAGGAUGAUCAGCCAAACUGGCAUGGGACACGGCCCAGAGGCCUACGGAGGAAGCAGUGGGGAAUAGUGCACAAUGGGGGCAAGCCUGAUGCAGUCAUGCCGCGUGAAUGAAGAGGGCCCUAGGGUUGUAAAGUACUUUCAGUCGGGAGGGGUUACCGACAGAAGAAGCACCGGCGAACUCCGUGCCAGCCGCCGCGGUAAGUC
rnacentral:rRNA from 1 species